UCCAAAAAACGUAUGUAACCAAUCAAAUCCUGAAAUUACUGACGUCCGGCUGACUCUGACCUCAGUCAUUCUUAAAGAAGAACGAUUCGAAAGACCGGGGUUUGAGGUCAUCAAGAACACCGCUAAAAUUAUUCCAGAUCGAAGGGAAGUAUUGAUGUCUUUGUUUUAUCCGCUCUACUAAAAGUCUGCCAACUCAAGUUUUCAACUCAGUCCCAGUUUUUCAUCACAUCUCAAGAAAAUGGCAUUUAGCGUUGUACAUUUGCUAAUGACCGAUGAAGUGGCUGUCGUCCAAGCAAAUGAGUGUCAAAUGAUAAAAAGGGACAUGUAACUGGCCUUCGUAUAAAGAAAGAAGUCACAUGAAAAGAGCAAUUCUGGAACACAGAGAACCAGAUACAUCCUGAGAGAAUUUUUAAAUUGUUGUCCUGGGAGAAUAUUGUGCUUUCAAAGAAAAUCGGGCCACCAGAGAGGUACCUUGCAAUAUUAUUGAAAAUAUUAUAAAAGACUGGUUGAAAAGUGUUUCAUUUAGAGAAAAGUAUCAUAAACAAAAAGGAAAAUGUACAACAGAAAGAAGUUUGUAAGCAAUGGAAUAAAAAAUUUGUG
rnacentral:lncRNA from 1 species